rnacentral:tRNA from 1 species
UAGCUCAGUGGUUUGAGCAUUGGUCUGUUAAACCCAGGAUUGUGAGUUCGAUCCUUGC